UGCAAGUCGAGCGCUACCUUCGGGUGGAGCGGCGGACGGGUUAGUAACGCGUGGGAAUAUACCCAGUUCUAAGGAAUAGCCACUGGAAACGGUGAGUAAUACCUUAUACGCCCUUCGGGGGAAAGAUUUAUCGGAAUUGGAUUAGCCCGCGUUAGAUUAGAUAGUUGGUGGGGUAAUGGCCUACCAAGUCUACGAUCUAUAGCCGGUUUGAGAGGAUGAUCAGCAACACUGGGACUGAGACACGGCCCAGACUCCUACGGGAGGCAGCAGUGGGGAAUCUUAGACAAUGGGCGAAAGCCUGAUCUAGCCAUGCCGCGUGAGUGUUGAAGGCCCUAGGGUCGUAAAGCUCUUUCAACUGUGAAGAUAAUGACGGUAGCAGUAGAAGAAACCCCGGCUAACUCCGUGCCAGCAGCCGCGGUAAUACGGAGGGGGUUAGCGUUGUUCGGAAUUACUGGGCGUAAAGCGUACGUAGGCGGAUUAAUAAGUUAGAGGUGAAAUCCCAGGGCUCAACCCUGGAACUGCCUUUAAAACUGUUAGUCUUGAGAUCGAGAGAGGUGGGUGGAAUUCCAAGUGUAGAGGUGAAAUUCGUAGAUAUUUGGAGGAACACCAGUGGCGAAGGCGGCUCACUGGCUCGAUACUGACGCUGAGGUACGAAAGUGUGGGGAGCAAACAGGAUUAGAUACCCUGGUAGUCCACACCGUAAACGAUGAAUGCCAGACGUCAGCAAGCAUGCUUGUUGGUGUCACACCUAACGGAUUAAGCAUUCCGCCUGGGGAGUA
rnacentral:rRNA from 1 species